UUGUGAGGGAUAUCUUUUGUAGCAGCCAUUUCUUGGUUGGAUAGGGUUUGAAGUUUAUGUUCGACGACGUCACUUUUCGCUAGAUCUUUCGAUAGUCCAGCCACUGCACCUUGUAAAAAUGAGGGGCCUGUUUCAGAUACACCGGCCGGAAUCGAAAUUCUGGCUCGGUAAGCCGGGAUAAAGAGUUGUAUUCACUCGGAUUGAACUCCGAGAUGCAACGGAAGCCUUCAGUUGGGACUUGUGUUUAAAGAUGGUAGGUGGCGAAGCUGAAAUAGAAGAAGCCCUAAACAGCAGCUGAUAACGGGAGGCGCAUCCCAAGAGAUUACGUUUAAAUGGUUUACGUGGGUUAUUGUGAGAUGCCAAUUACCAAAAUGAAAGCAAUAACCCGGAUGUUGCCGGGACACCGCAAAAGCUGAGAUGUUUAUGAAGACUUCUGAUGAUUCUGCGAUGUAAAGAGCUGACAGAGAAAGAAGAAGAAAGAAGAUGCGGUCCACUUUUUUAUUCUACUUCAUGCUCGAUAAAUGAAUUUGUAAUCUAUUAUUUCUGUCUAAUGUUGUCAUGGUCGGUCAGUGAAAAAAAAAUGAAUAGAGCCCAUCGAAACGAGAAUUCAGUCUGGCGAAUUAAAUAUAACUUUUAUUUUCAAGAAAAAGAUGCCAUAAAUCUGUAAUUUUUUUUUGGAGGAAAAAAUGCUGUAAUUUGUAAACGAAGUACUUUUAUCAUAUCGCUAGCUAUA